CAUGCAAGACAACCAAAAAGCAUUAAACAGAAACAUGGACCACAGGAUCAGUGCUUUUCUGCAUUUCAGACUAAAUGUUGGAAUUGAAAAAAUAAUCAAACUUUAUUGGUUUUGAGCCUCGUGUAACAUAAAGGAUGAAGCCGUUCAGAUUGGCUGCUGACAUGCCCAUGCGCUGAAAUCUAUUGUUUUCCCAAGUGGGGGGAAUGCAGAAAGGCCCUAGGAGUGUCAGCUGAGCAGACAGAAACACGGUGUUGGAGGAGAAGUGGGAGCAGAGCAGCCAGACAACAGGGCCUCGCUAAGUUCCCCUUACAACUGCUGAGCGGGAAAGCAUGUCAGAUCGCACGUGUCAAACCUUGAAUUGGAUCCGUUUUUACCAGCAGCUGACCAUGUCGGGUUUCACUUCUGACAGCUGAGAACAGAAAUCAGGAGCUGCAGAGAGAACAGGCUCAGCAGAGCCGGACAGCUGAAGCUUUCUGUUUCUGCUCAGAGCGCAGAGGACGGACACAGGAUUAAUUGACCCAACCAGAGCCAUGCAGAUUCUCUCUGCUGAACUUUAGUGAACAUCAUGGUGGUGGCAGCAUCAUGCUGUGGGAGAAUGGAUGGAGCUAAAUCCAGGACAAUAAUGGAGGAACAACCAGCCUGAACAUCCAGCCAGAGAUAUUAUGGGAUGGUUUAGAUCCAAGCAGAUUCAUGUGUAAGAGUGGCCUAGUCAAAGUCCAGACCGUAAUCCAGCUGAGAAUCUG